UACGUAGGGUGCGAGCGUUGUCCGGAUUUAUUGGGCGUAAAGAGCGUGUAGGCGGCUUUACAGGUCCGUUGUGAAAACUCGAGGCUCAACCUCGAGACGCCGGUGGAAACCGUAAGGCUAGAGUCCGGAAGAGGAGAGUGGAAUUCCUGGUGUAGCGGUGAAAUGCGCAGAUAUCAGGAAGAACACCCGUGGCGAAGGCGGCUCUCUGGGACGGUACUGACGCUGAGACGCGAAAGCGUGGGGAGCGAACAGG
rnacentral:rRNA from 1 species